GAGCUUGUUGUCUAAUUGGUAAGACAGCGUUUAAUAAACGCUCUGUGCGACUUCGAUAUUCGCCAAGCUCAC
rnacentral:tRNA from 1 species